rnacentral:rRNA from 1 species
GAUUUCUGACACGGUGCGCCUGGCCCAUCCUCUCUGAGGCAUGAGUGUCGGUGUGCGUCUGUCAUCUUGUCUAGUAUCACGGCCGGUCCUUCAACGGAUGCGGGUCGCGUGCUAGACCUUUUACUUUGAAAAAAUUAGAGUGUUUAAAGCAGGCUUGCGCUAUGAAUACAUUAGCAUGGAAUAAUAAUUUAGGACUUUGUUUCUAUUUUGUUGGUUUCUAGAGGCGAAGUAAUGAUUGAUAGGGAUAGUUGGGGGUGCUCGUAUUCACCGGCCAGAGGUGAAAUUCUUGGAUUCGGUGAAGACGAACUUAUGCGAAAGCAUU